UAUGGAGCCUCCAGAGCUAUCUUUGCUGAAAGAAUGAAACUUCAGGAAUGAAAGUUUGCACAUAAAGGCUGUAGUGCAUUGGCAUGAUUAUGGACCUUCAGGGAUUGAGCAGUUCGACCUCCCAAGGAUCAAGCAAUCCUCCUGCCUCAGCCUCCCAAGUAGCUGGGACUACAGCCAUAAAUAUUUAUUGAGCACCGGUGAUGUUCCAGGCGUGGUUUUUGGUGCUAGCAGGAGAGAAAACAAUACCUGUGGCCUAAAGAGCUCAACCUGACCUGAAGAACUCAAGGGAAUCUUGAACUUGAGUGGGGCAGAAAAUGCAUUUUCCUUUUCACUAAACUUGCAAAAAUAUAGCAUUUUCUUCAAUUAUGAAUUUAGGCAACAAACCACACUAGUAUUAGCAGUGCCUGUGGCUUUGUUAUUAAUAAAAAUAAGUCUUUUCAUAUCACAUUAUAGUUCUUUUGUAGGUCUAGAAAUAUUUAUUGGAAAUAGCAUUACCUUAAAAGUAGAAAUUGGGAGGCCACUUUUAGAUU